UUAUUUUGUAUUAAUAAAUGUGUUGAAAAGAGUAUUGUUCUGGCAUUUGCUACAUUUUAAUAAUUCAAUUUAAAAGUAUUUAGCUGUAAGCACUGCAGAAAUUGUGAUCAUAGAACCUGAUAAGUGAUGGGAGAGGAUUAUCUCUCUUGUUACUGUACCUCACUAACAUACAUAAAUGAUGGGAACAUUUAGUUCUGUGUCUCAUAGAUUAUGAAGUAAUUGAGAGACCAACGGUAAUAUGCUGGUCCAAGUUGUUCAUUUUGUGAACAGUGCAUUAGAUGUUAUAAACUAUUUUAGAAUUAUGAUUUAAAGAUAUCACUCCAUGCUGCACACCCAAUGCUGCACAUGAUGUUUGUUAGGUAGUUUGCAGUUUUUAAUCGUAAUUCUGGUGGCUUCCACAGUUUUUACUGCACUUGGAAGUAGGUAAGUGGAUUAGGUGUUAAGUAUCAAAUUUUUGAACUUUGCUUCCAAUUUAUCGCUCCUUGCUGUUAUUGGAUGGCCAAUUGUAUAUGCUAAUUUCAGGAGUGUGCUAAUUGGGGCAAAGUCCAGCUCAGCUCAACUCUGCUCUGCACUCCUAUAGCACCAUUUUCCCUGCAGGCUGAAGAUGUUUGCAAACAACCGUCCACCAGCACGAGACCAACACUUAUACACUUUGGUGGUCCGGGGGGAGGAAGAUGUAUGAGCUACUCAGUGGCAUCAAUGAUGCUAUGGAGACCCUCGACAAGAGUCAAGCAGCCCUUAACAAUGUUAAUGAAGCCCUCUUCCAGAGCAUCAGUCCUUUUAAGGAGGCCUCUGACGAUGGUCGUGGAUCCACUGGCCACAGUGCGAGUGAUGUUAUGGAGGCCCCUGACGAUGGUCAAGUGUCCCCCCGAUGAUGUUCAUGGAUCCCCUGGCCACAGUCUGAGUCAUUGUAUGGAGGCUAGGACUGCUGAGAAGGAUGGUAACAAAGGUCCAUGAAGAGGAAGCCAUGGUAAAGAGUGCACCUUCAGACUGAGAUUCAUAAACAUGCACAUACAUGUGAUCAUACACACAAAUCAUCCACAUGUACACCACACAACACACUCUAUAGACAGACAGAUAGACACACACACACACACACACACACAAACACACACAAUAUUGACUUUAAAUAAAAUCCCAGUA